UACGUAGGGGGCUAGCGUUGUCCGGAAUCAUUGGGCGUAAAGCGCGCGUAGGCGGCCCGGUAAGUCCGCUGUAAAAGUCCAGGGCUCAACCCUGGAAAGCCGGUGGAUACUGUCGGGCUCGAGUCCGGAAGAGGCGAGUGGAAUUCCUGGUGUAGCGGUGGAAUGCGCAGAUAUCAGGAGGAACACCGAUUGCGAAGGCAGCUCGCUGGGACGUUACUGACGCUGAGACGCGAAAGCGUGGGGAGCAAACAGG
rnacentral:rRNA from 1 species